rfam:Ovis aries breed Texel chromosome 1, whole genome shotgun sequence.
UCCCUGGUAGUCCAGUGGUUAGGACUGUGAGCUUCCACUGCACCGGGCCUAGGUUUUAUCCUUGGUCAGAGAA